CCUACGGGAGGCAGCAGUAGGGAAUAUUGCUCAAUGGGGGAAACCCUGAAGCAGCAACGCCGCGUGGAGGAUGAAGGUUUUCGGAUUGUAAACUCCUUUUGUUAGAGAAGAUAAUGACGGUAUCUAACGAAUAAGCACCGGCUAACUCCGUGCCAGCAGCCGCGGUAAUACGGAGGGUGCAAGCGUGACUCGGAAUCACUGGGCGUAAAGAGCGCGUAGGCGGGAUAGCAAGUCAGAUGUGAAAUCCUAGGGCUUAACCAUAGAACUGCAUUUGAAACUGUUAUUCUAGAGUAUGGGAGAGGUAGGUGGAAUUCUUGGUGUAGGGGUAAAAUCCGUAGAGAUCAAGAGGAAUACUCAUUGCGAAGGCGACCUGCUAGAACAUAACUGACGCUGAUGCGCGAAAGCGUGGGGAGCAAACAGGAUUAGAUACCCGGGUAGUC
rnacentral:rRNA from 1 species